CAUGUGCUAAAAAGUCAACAGCGUCAAACAUUUCGAAACGGAGGGAGUAAGACAUUACUUCAUGAAGAAAUGAAAGCUAGAAUAUAUACGAGACACCUCUAAUAAUUGACGAACAAUAAAACCCAUAUGAGCAUGACAAACACUAACGCUAAAAUCACAUGCUUGUAUACACUAUAAUGCUUGUAUUCAUUACCUAUCCUAAUAUGCAUACCCACACUAUUUGAGUAGGGUAUGUGUAAAAGAUUGUGCAUACUUAAAUUUUGGAUAUGAGGAUGGUAUUACCCAUUUUACCCACUUUGUCCAUACCCAUUUUCUAUGUGUAAACCUCGGACCUAAUUUUUUUUAAACUCACGUUCACAUUAAAAAACUUAUGAAAUUUGGGAGUAUGAUUUAUUAUUUGUAAGAGCAACUUUGUAUAUAUAUUAGUCCUUUUCUACAUGUAGGACCGACAUAUCUCUUUUGUCUUAUUCAUUGGGUUAUCCAUACUUGCUGGGUAAUAGUCACUUAAUUUAAUUUAGGUGCGGGUUAUCUUUUUAUAGAUGGGGAUGGGUAAAACUGGGUAUGAAUAUGGGUUAGCCAGUACCCUCCCCAGUGGAAGACACCUGUCACAUCCAACCCGAUCCAUGUGAAUGGUAGCUAAGGGCAAGUACUAUAAGCCUCUUAUCACUAAUUUUAAGAUGCCAUGUAGACUCGUAUGAUGAUAUGGAUGAGACAAGAGAAGAGAGGGAGGAGCAGCCAUCCCUCAUACAAGGGGUAACCUCGACACAAAUUUCAUAAAAUGGGAGAGAAAGAGAGAAGUUGAUCGGUAGCAAGUGGAUUGGGUGUAGUGUAAGUAGUAUGUAUCACCUCUAAAUUAAUGUGUAGAUCUAGAUAAAAUUAUAUGUGACUACUACCUCUAUUAUAAAACGUGCCCUAAUAUGAAUCAAUUCCUGCCCGUUCUUAAUUUGCAGCUGGCACGUGUAUAGCACAGCACCGAUCAGUAACUCCACAUGCGGCUGAAAAAUAUAACAGCGUUCGUCCAUAAGUUCAGUCCAGAACAGCAUGCAGAGCUGGGUGUGCGUAUCUGCAGGAGUAUUGCCCCUGAUCCUGAGGCUGAUAUGUAUCAGUUGCAUUAGUUCUGUCAGGCAUAUAUAUUAGAACACCUUCUCUUCUUUUGGUCUGACUGAGAAGAGGGCACGGCAUCAAUCGGCGCUGUGACACUGACCAGUGAGCCUAUGAUCGUACGUGCUGAAGAAAGCAGUGUGUGCGCAAAUGUGCACAUUUUCUAGGAAUGGGAUGCAUAAGGAACACGAGCCCAUCUUUGUGAGCCCGCUAUUGUGUUCUAAGCACGAUGCCACUGGCGGCGAUGUGGUCUUCUACCACAUGGCACGCCCGUGGGAUAUGGAGGAGCAGUUUCUCAUGGUGGGAUUACAGGCUCUGGCCUGCAGGAUAUGGCCUAAUAAGGGCGAUGCAGUGUUGGCUUCUACCAAUUUCGCCUUCCUGCUCGAACGACUCAUGAUGUGUUCCUUCAUGAGAGGUGAGCCGAUCGUCGAUGGAGUCCGUUUCUUCGUCAAGCAGAAUGGUUCAGGAUACGGUUCGCUAAACACCAGAAACCUCAAACUGGAUCGUGUCUCACCAAAAGUAUGAUGCAGCUCUUUUGAAACCAGGACACACGAUUCUUGUGCAUGCUACUUUCAUUUAUGCGUGUGCAUCAUAAAUUUCAGUUCUUCGUCAACGUCGUGGAUCAUUUGUACAGGCCCAUCUAAUUUCACAAUUAUUCGAACAGAGCAUCUGUAUUUCACAUAUUUGCGGCUUGCACAGAGUCCAAUUGCAUUAGCGUACUCUACUCUACCAGCUAGGCGCAGAGAGAUCAGAAUUCUUAUCCUCCUUCUCAUCAGUUCCUUUUUUUUUGUUUGGUCAGUAUAUAUGUAAAGCUAACAAUGCAUGGCCGGGUGAUCUUUGGUAUGACUGUGAGGACAGUGUGUGCACAUUUAGACGAGGAUUGGGAUGCAUAGGGAACGCAAGGUCAUCUUUGAGAUAAUGUGGCACCGUGUGUCAAGCACUGUGGUGCUGGCUGCUGUCGGAUCGGAGAUGGAUGCAGUCUCCUUUGACACGGCGCCAUCGUCUAGCUCGAAUUAUCCAUGAUCCUAGUCUAUAUUGAGUAGUGGUUUUUCAUGGGAGCAGCGCUGUUAAAGGAGGGUGGCCGGUAAUGUCUACAACGCAAGCUAUGGAUGGAACACACAAGUCAGACGUCUGGGGUUCUGAGUUUGCUGUUGUCUGUACUGCAGGGGCUCGUUCGAGCUCCAUCCAGCGGGACGGCCUGAGGGCGAUGUAGUGUGGACCGCUGCCAACCUCGACAUGCAAAACAAUCCUGCGGCUUGAACAAGUCAAGGUAUGUGCUCGUUGGCGAAUGGGGAGCUGAUCGAUCGUCUCAACUCCAUUUCUUCUCAUGGCAGAAUUGUGCAGGACACGGUUCGCACUAACCACCAAAGCACUCUAAAAUCAAAGAUGUUUUUGAUUACUAUUCUGUGAUGAACAAUUGGGCAUUGGAGAUUAUUGGUUUUGUUAUUUUGAAUUUAUUCACGAA